AGUAAAAUUACUGGGUCAUAUGGUAAUUCUACAUUUAACUUUCUGAGGAACUGCCAAAUCAUUUUCCAAAGUGACUGUACCAUUUUACAUUUCCACCAGCAAU
rnacentral:pre_miRNA from 1 species